GAUGAACGCUGGCGGCGUGCCUAAUACAUGCAAGUCGAGCGAACAGACGAGGAGCUUGCUCCUCUGACGUUAGCGGCGGACGGGUGAGUAACACGUGGAUAACCUACCUAUAAGACUGGGAUAACUUCGGGAAACCGGAGCUAAUACCGGAUAAUAUAUUGAACCGCAUGGUUCAAUAGUGAAAGACGGUUUUGCUGUCACUUAUAGAUGGAUCCGCGCCGCAUUAGCUAGUUGGUAAGGUAACGGCUUACCAAGGCAACGAUGCGUAGCCGACCUGGAAGGGUGAUGGGCAACACUAGAACAGAGACACGGUCCAGACUCCUACGGGAGGCAGCAGUAGGGAAUCUUCCGCAAUGGGCGAAAGCCUGCCGGAGCAACGCCGCGUGAGUGAUGAAGGUCUUCGGAUCGUAAAACUCUGUUAUUAGGGAAGAACAAAUGUGUAAGUAACUAUGCACGUCUUGACGGUACCUAAUCAGAAAGCCACGGCUAACUACGUG
rnacentral:rRNA from 1 species